rnacentral:rRNA from 1 species
AGUGAACGCUGGCGGCAGGCCUAAUACAUGCAAGUCGAGCGGCAGCACAGCAGAGCUUGCUCUGUGGGUGGCGAGUGGCGGACGGGUGAGGAAUACGUGGGAAUCUGCCCAGUCGUGGGGGAUAACGUAGGGAAACUUACGCUAAUACCGCAUGCGCCCUUCGGGGAAAGCCGGGGACCUUCGGGCCUGGCGCGAUUGGAUGAGCCCACGUCGGAUUAGCUAGUUGGCGGGGUAAAGGCCCACCAAGGCGACGAUCCGUAGCUGGUCUGAGAGGAUGAUCAGCCACACUGGAACUGAGACACGGUCCAGACUCCUACGGGAGGCAGCAGUAGGGAAUAUUGGACAAUGGGCGCAAGCCUGAUCCAGCCAUGCCGCGUGAGUGAAGAAGGCCCUCGGGUUGUAAAGCUCUUUUGUCCGGAAAGAAAAGCGCCGGGUUAAUACCCCUGGUGUCCUGACGGUACCGGAAGAAUAAGCACCGGCUAACUUCGUGCCAGCAGCCGCGGUAAU